AAGAAAUACAGACUCUUUCAUCCUUGGGAAAAAUAGUGACUGCAUGAGUGGGAAAAACACAGGAAACUGGAUUGUUAUGGGGAUUAUGGAGCCUACUUUCUUUACAGAAAGACAGAGCACAAUUCAAACCAUAAGACACUAUUCAUUGCAGGCAUUUGCUCAACACCUCAGAAGGGAGCAAAGCACAGACAGAUCUGUGUUAAAGUGCUUUUCCACUGCUUUUCUAUUUCUGCUGCCAUAAAUAGUCAUCUUCCAGAGAGGACUCUACAUCAAAGCUAAUGAAGUGCUGUGCCUGGUUGUGUGUGUUAAGAAGCUCCUAGUAUGGACAUUCCAACUUUUCUUUGAGUAGCUCAUUGCAGUACUGUAAUGCUGUCCCAUGGAGAAUUUUUUCCAGUCUCAAGUCUGAACCUCUUAAAACUUAAACUGUGGUUGGCAUCUUUAUUCUAUAACCUUCCACUACACAAGGGAGUUCAGCUCCAUUGUCUAUGUAACUUCUCUAAGUCAUUGUGGUCAGAAAGCAUUUUGGAAAUCAGAAUGAACAGAUGAUUUCUUCUCUCUGGAACAGCAAAUGAAAAUGUCCCUUGCAGGUCCUUGUGCCUCUUCUCUGAGAGGGUCUGCUUCAUCUAUAUUAUGAACAUAGUAGCAAAAAUAGAUGAGGUGAAAUAUCCUGCUGUAUGAUCCCAGGAACAAGAUUUAAAAAUGCAAAAUUAUGAUGGAUUUUUGCUUCCUGCCUUAUGUAUCCAAAAUGCAUUUUCAGACUAAGGACUGCUCUCAGUGAUGCCACCAACUCCGUCUCUACAGACUUCACAGAAGCACAAAGAUACUGUCACAUAUUGGGAUAUCAGCAGUGCACAGCAAUGCAGUAUUUGAAUCUGGGAACAAUUUUGUCUUUCAUUCGCUUUUUGGUUAUUUCUGCUUGGCAGUUAUCAUGAUUUAACCCCAGUCAGAAAAUCUGUCCAACACAACCACUCACUUAUUUGCGUGGUAGGAUGUGGGAGGGAUUUGGGAAGGUAAAACUGAGAAAACUCGUGGGUUAAGAUAAAAACUGUUUAGUAGGUAAAGCAAAAGCCAUGCAUGCAGCACUGCCCAUGGGUCGGUAGGUGUUCAACCAUUCCUGGGACAGCAGAGCUCCAUCACACAUGAAACAGUGACUUGGAAAGACAAAUGCCAUCUCCAAACAUGCCCCUUUCCUCCAUCUUCCACCAGCUUUGUAUGCUGACUGCAGUGCCCUAUAGCAUGGAGUAUCCCUUUGGUCAGUUGGGUCAGCUGUUCUGGUUGUGUUCUUUCCUAAUUUCUUGUGCACCACCAGGUCCCUCACUGGUGGGUGGGGCGAGGAGCAGAAAAAGCCUCAGCUCUUUGUGAGCCCUGCUCAACAGUAACUAAAACAUCCCUGUGUUAUCAACAGUUUUCAGCACAAAUCCAAAACACAGCUCCAUACCUGCUACUAUGGAGAAAAUCUUUCAGCCAAAACCAGCACAGGAAUGGAACAGAAUAAUAUCAGUUUCCAUUCCACCAAGCAUAAAUACAUUGACUUCAACUGCAAGAGUAUGUAAUUCUUCCGAACACUUUUUGGAAAGGGAUGCUGUUACACUGAGUGAUGAGAGAAUCCCUGCUUGAGGUGAAAGGUUCUGUGUUUUGGACAUUGCUCCGGUUGUAUAUAUGUUGUUUUUGUGUGCAUAUUUUCAAGAGAAUAAUUUUUGAGAAGGCAUAUUAAGGGCUGUAAGACAUUAUUGCAGUAGGGCCCAUAUACUGAAUAGCAACACUGUGUACUCCAGGGAGCUGUCAUGUCCUCCUUACAAACACAUUACAGUCCAUCUGCAAAUACUGGCACCUCUAAGAUGUAAGGGAACAAUUUACUCACUGAAAGGUCUAUCCAACAAACCCCUAGCUGUACACACUGCAUACAACAGACAUCCCUCUGGGGCUAGCCAUAAAUUCUGUAUCAUGUGGGCUGUGCUAUUCGUGUUUAUUCUGCUGCUCCCUCAGCCAGUCUCUCAUGUGCUCUUCACCAAACAAUGCCUGAUAUCCCUCUUCCCCACUGGAAGUAUGUUCCUGCAGAGAAAGAAAAACAUAGUGAAAAUUCAUUCACAUCAGGCUUUCUAUGACAAUAAUUAAGGCACAUGACAAAAAGCCUUUUCCUACUUCAGCUUUAAAUUUUUUUUCCAGUUUUAGUGGGAGAGAAUUCAGCAACCAUCAAGAGAAACAUACAGAACCCUUAGUGCCAAAGUGAAGUGUCUGUGUUCUCAAGGUCUUAACACUCCUGAAGAGAGAUGUGGAAUAAGUCUUCUGAAGAUGUCAGCAAGACCACAAAUAGCUUGAGAAGAAUUAAGUAAAAUUUAAAAAUAGUAGACUACAGGUGGCCUGUGGGAAGACCCCCAGUAUACAAGGAAUAUAUGUUUGGCUUAUAUAAAAAAUUCUUGCAGCUGUGUUUUCAAUAUAAGCUGAAGUCUGGGAUGUAACAAGAUUUAGUUAGAUACCAUGUAAAAUGGAAUGAUAGCAGUUACAGCAUAUCAUCUUAUGAUUAAUUUAGCAAACUUACCUGCAUUAGAAACUUUUCCCCCACUGCACUGUUAAUUCUUUACAAGUAAUGUAAGUCUAAACUUACAAUAUAGUAUCUAUAUUAUGGGAAAAGGGUCAUCUGAAAUAGAGGCAGGACCAAAUACCACAACAGAGUAAAGUGACAGUUAAUGUCAAUCAUUUGAAACAGCAUUACAAGGGCUGAAUAUAAUCAGUAUAUUUUGUACAAACUGUCAUAUAUGAUUCCUGUCUUCAGGAACAACUAAAACAAUCAAGGAUUUCAAGUCUGGCAACUGUGUGCCCUGUAUUCAUCCCCACAGGCCCCAGAAGGAUAAUUCUUAAACCUACAGACUGUCUUGUGGAGCUUUUUUGUUUUCCUGUAAGACUAUCCAAUUACUUAGUGCUGUGCUGGGAGUACCUGAGGAAAUAGUAAAAGGAAAUACAACUGAGAGCCACUGUGGUUUGAUUCCUCUCCAGAUACUUUGAAAAUAUUUUGGCAAAAACAAGAUUUUAAGUAAUACUGUAUCCUUUGGUAACAUAGAGAGGACUGCAGGUUUUACAUUUUUGCACUUAGUGUGAAGGGCCAAAAAAAAAAAAACCAACCCCUUGUGUGAGGUUGUACACAUGGUAGUAAUGUUAGUGGGGAAGAAAGAGAGGGCAAAGCAGAGGUGAAGGAGGUGGGGAAUUUGAACAAGAUGCAGAACAAAGACAAGGAGACAAGAUAAUACAAAUAUCUAUUUUCUACUGACAAAACCAACUGCACAGUGCUGCAAGAAGGAAAAUAUCUUUGGGUACUUUAGACUUCUAAUGAGUGACAGUGUGAUGGUUUGUUCAUCAAAGGAUGACUGUGAUCAAAGAGAUGAAAACCAUGAUUUCUUUUAGCUUGUUUGGUCAUCCAGUGGGGUUAAUGAGGGAGCUCCUGAACUGACAAGUGUAAGUUGUAUUUCCUUUUCUAAAAGGAGAUUCCUUGGAGUACUUAAUAAUUUUGCUCUCUGAAGUUUUUAGUAAGAAUCAAAAGAAGUGCUAUGAAAAGCUUUCUAAAUGCACUGUCCCUACUGAAUUCUCUAAAGCCACAUCCAUCCCUGGCUGCAUCCAGGGAUGGAGCCCCCGUGGGCAGCAGGGGAGGGAGGGGAUUCUGCCCCUCUGCUCUGCUCUGCUGAGACCCACCUGGAACACUGCAUCCAGCCCUGGGCUCCCAGCAUGGGAUGGACAGGGACCUGCUGGAGCCAGCACAGAGAAGGCCACUGGUGUGAUGGAGCACAUUUCUUUGAAGAAAGGCUGAGAGAGUUGGGAUUGUUCAACUGGGAGAAGAGAAGGCUUAGGGGUGACUAAGAGAAGGCUUAGAGGACAAAGGUGUGGCCUUCCAGUACUUGAUGAAACCUGCAAGAAUGAAGGAGAGGGAAUAUUUGCAUGAGUCUGGAGUGACAGGACAAGGGGGAAUGGCUUCAAACUGAGAGAGUGCGUUUAGGUUAGAUACUAGGAAGAAAUUCUUUACCCUGAGGGUGGUGAGGCCCUGGCACAGGUUGCACAGAGAAACUGUGGAUUCACUCUCCCUGGCAGUGUUCAAGGCCUGGCUGGAUGGGGCUCUGAGCAACCUGGUCUAGUAAAAUGUGUCCCUUCCCAUGAAUGAGCUUUCCAAAUCAUAAUUAUGAGGUCUGUGAAUAUUUAAAUUAAUUAUACAAAGCAAUGGUACCUUUGCCCUUCAGGGCUGGUUUCUUUCUUUAGAAUACCUUUGUGUUUGUUUGGCUGCCACUGAUUACAACAUGCCCAAAUCCAAAGUCUUGUUUCUGGGUUGUCCUGCUCUGUACACAUCACUCACAAGUGGCAUAACAAUUGGCAUUCAAGAGAACAGUGUUAAGUCAUUCUUACUAUUCAUAAGCAAAUUAGCCAGAUAAGCAUAAUGUAAACAUUUCUCUUCAUUUGUUCAUUUCCUAAUAUAACUCCUUAUCAUGGCCUUCAGACAGAUAUAUAGUUAUGUGUUUCUUUCAAUUUUUUUGAACUUAUGAGUUUUUUUUAAGGCUGAAUUGCUGUUUCUUUUCCUGUAGAAAUGUUCACCUUGUCACAAUGGGUCAAAUUCUUUCUACGUUGUAUGGAAAUGCAGUGAGUUCAUGCCUUUUCACAUCACAACUUUUCCUCAAGAGAAAAUUUUUUGUCCUGAAGCCACCUGGGAAGAGCUCAACGAAGGCAUUCUUUAAAAACAGCUUUAGGAUUGAAGUCAACUUCAAUCCUAACUGGGACUACACAAAUGCUGACUUACACUUUUUCCAGCUGUAGUGAUGUGGAAGUAUUUUAUUGUAAGUUCCCAAGCAUAUGAGGUGCUAUGAGCUUGGAAGUUGCAAAAGACAAAGCUGCAAAUCAAAAAGAAAAAAGGAAGAAGGUGUAGAUAUUGAGUGCAUGGGGAUGGUGAGGAUUGAACAGAAUUGAGUUAUUUUGGGAAGAAAGCCUCUGGAAAGGUUGUGUUAAGCAAGAGGCAUACAGAGCACACUGAUUCAAGGUUUUAAAGAAUUGUAAUGGAUCUGAGUUUUGAUACUUGAAAAGAAAGGCAAAAGGACCUAUUAAUUUAAUGAAUGCAUUUGAAAUUAUAGAUGUGAUUUCCAUUACAACAGAGUUUGGAUUGAGUUUUAUUUAACUCAACCAGUCAGAAUUUUAAAUUAAAUCUGAGCUGCUUUUCAGAGGGAGAAAAAUAAAACAAUGCAUAAUGUCCUGUAACUGGCAACUUGCCUCUUUCCUGUUCCAUACUAAAUCAUUUUUCUCAGAUGCUGAGCUUCAUUGUUCUUUGUACCUUGUUGAAUUCCUAACUUAUUACACAUUGAAAUCUAGUAUGUUUAACCAUGUCUGUGUAAGCUACUUCUAACAGUUCCUUAAUAUACCCUGUUUAUAAACAAGUCUUUCUACUGUUUUACCGUCUUCAGCUUAAGUGCUUUUUUUGGUUUGGUUUGGUUUGGUUUGGUUUGGUUUGGUUUGGUUUGGUUUGGUUUUUUUGUUCCUAGUUUGUUCAUCUGGGAAAUCUGAACAUGCUGUUAGGGACAAACUGUGUCCCCAACACAGGGAAUAUUAAGCUCAUGUAAGUGACAGUACAGUAACAUCUAGUGGGGCCAUGCCCCAGAGUGCAGUCCAGACUUUUCCUUUGGUAAUCAAUGGAAGGAAGAAGUUUUUGACAUAACUAUUCUUUGAAGGCUGCCUUAAGUGAAACUGGGUAGACAUUUUCUUUAGGUGUUUAGAAUUGGAAUCCCUGUUCUCACAACUGUCUUUCAGGACAAGGUUACAAAAUAACCUCAAACUUUGAGCUGCCAUUCUGUUUAUGAGACACUUGGGCAUGGACUAAGAGAAGUUGAUUUUGUUAACUAGUACCUGAAGGAAAAAAUAUGCCCAUUUUGUAGAGCAGUUUAGGGAACAGCCCUAGUUCAAACAGGGAAGAGUUAAUGUGUGAGAAAACAGUGUUUUCAAAAAUCUAGUACAUGUGGAUCAGUUGUUCCAUAAACUAUGAAUGUGUUCCAUUAAAGUGUUAUGCCAGGAAGCUUUAAUUUCUACACCUAAUUCUUUCACUUUCUGAAGCCAAUUUUAAAAAUGUUCAUGUAGUUUCUUCAAAAACAAAGCUUUGAUGAAGAAAUUCCCUGGAUUAUUUCUGUAGUGAUCUGUUCUAGUGGUUUGCAGCAUGCUGUGGAGAACUGAGGGAAUUCUUCCUGGAAUUCCUUGAAGAUGUGGGGUCUUUUUGUCAUUUGUGUAACUCAUCUGAAACUAAAUGAAACUUGUAGCUCUUGUAGUUUAGAUUACCUAUCUGUGAUUGUCCUAGAGGUACUUACAGUUAUCAUUUAGAGCAAUAGUCUGUGUGUCCAUUGAGGCUUCAGGUUGUGCUGGGGAUUUGGCUCCUUCUCCACAGUGGCACUAAACUUUGGAAGUGAGGUUCAUGUACUCACUGAUGUUAUAUCAGUGUGGUCACAGCACGCAGUAAGUUAUCCUCAGCACAAGGCACUAACUACAACUGUAUUCUCCAAGUUAGAGCUAAUUUACUUCCAUUAACUCUAUUUUCUUUCUAUCAUGACCUUUUUUCCUUCCUGUUCUCUUUGGUUUUGUCCCUUAUCUUUUUUAUCAAGAAGGUACGCUAUCUGGCCCAUAAUUCACCUGUUUUUAAAAACUUACAUCUUUUUAAAAACUUACAUGAAGCUCUAGGCUUACCUUCAACAUUUUGGCAAAUACCCUCAGCUGGAAACUUUUCAACCAUGGGCAAUUUCAGCAUCCUGUCUGUGGAAUCUCUUCAGCAUCAGGCAAUAUCUCAAGAUCAGUGACCUUCAACUCCUGCAGGCUGGUAGGUGUCCUCCUUGAGUAAAGAGCUGAACUCACAUUCAUUCGCACUCACAUUCACCCUCAGACCUCUUUCUAGCCUCCAGAAUGAGGAAAUUGAGGAAUGUACUAUGCCCUCUUUCUACUUAUUUUUCUGCUUAUCUUCACUGCUAACUCCUCUUUUGCUUGUGUUCAUCUUCUCUAGAGGUCUCUGCCCUCUGAGCUCUCCCAGUCACUGUCACAUGAGGAAUGACAGAAAUGAAACAUUUCAAAGAAGGUCAUGAUCGCUUUGCAGCCUCCCCAUGGGGCAUCUGCACCUCUGACAGUGAUGGGUCGCUGUUGGUCACACCUUUCCAAUCCUAAAAGAUUCCAUGACUCUGUGAUUCCAGCUGCAGGGUCCUCAAUGCAAGAAGGAUGUUAACCUGCUGGAAUUGGGUCCAGAGGAGGGUCACAAAGAUGAUGCAAAGGCUGGAACCACUCUUCCAACAAAGACAGGCUAAGAGAGUUGAAAGUAAAGAAGGCUCCAGGGAAACCUCACUAAUGCCAUCCAGUAUUUCAGGGGACUUCAAAAAAUGGAGAAUGACUUUUUCAUAAGCAGAUAUGACAAGACAAAGAAGCACAGUUUUAAAAUAAAACACAAGUUGUUUAGAUUAAAUAUUAUAAAGAAAAGGUAUUUCUGCUAUCGGUUAGUAGCAGCUUUUAGCUCAGAUGAUUUUAUUAAGGAUAAUUAGCAGUAGAAGGAAAGGCAUUUGCAUUCUGGUCAUGAUUCUGAUAUUUUUUUCUUUGAAUUAGAUAGCGCAUUGAGAUUAUGUGAAAUUCAGAGCCUCUGUUAUUGCAGGUUUUUUUUUUCUUUUGUGUCAACUCUGUUUUCCUUGUAUCAAUAGUUGGGAUGCACGUCUGAUUAAUUAGUACUUAAUCUGUUACAUUAAUUCAUAAAUACCAUGUAGACAUUCAAGAUGAAGAUGCACUGUGUCAAAUUAAUUACUGUAGUUUUACUGUAAAAAAAAAAAGAAAAAUCUUGUUUUACAUCUUAAAAUAAUCUAGAUAAACCAGAUUCUUUUAAUUUCUUUCAAAAUCAUUUGGAUGUAGACAUAGAUUAACAGGUGGCAAUGAAAUAUGCCAGGCAUCCUUUCACAUCACAGUGUUCAAAUGGGAAUUUUUCAUCAGAGGAAAGACAGAGGGAGAAGCUGACAGAGAGAUAUCUCUCGGUAACACAGGAGAGCAAUACUGAGAAUUUGGGCUUCUGAACUGAGCCUUUCCAUCCUGAUUAAUCUAUCUGAUUCGCCUUGGUGGUGCUCUUACCUCCAAAAAGCAUAAAAAGAUCAGUAAAAAUUAAUAUGAAAAUGGAAACAUUCUUCACUCCAACACUAGGUAACUUUUGUCUCCCUUUCAAAAUAACAAAAGAAACACAGAUUUUGUUACACGCAUUUAGUAGAGAAAUAUGUGAGUAAUUUCAAAAUCAAAGUGAGAACAGUCCCAGUCCUAAAGUUAAGGAAUCAUUUCCACGGUCAUCGAUAUCAACCCAGUUUUAAUUAUACCAAGAAACGUGUUGGAAUCUCUUGCAGUCUUCAGAGCACAAACAUGAAGUAGUGAAUGGUCAAGCACCUUCUUGAUAGAUAACACUUCACUGCUACAACGAGUUAUAUGAAAAAAAUGUUAUUUUUUUUGUGAAUUUUAAUGAGUAGCAGAAAAUGGAGGCUAGUAACUGAGUUAAUGGGCUGUGUGUCUAUGAAAUAGUAAUGCUGUCAUGGCUUGAAACUUAUUUGCUCUGACUCAGGCUGGAAAGGAAGUUCUUCAGACUAGGUACAGAUUUAUUUUAAGGGGUGGCACCUUGGUUAAUCUGAGUCAUGUUCACUUAGUUGCUGGAUAGAAUCUUGUUAUGAAAAAAACCUGAUUUUUCUUUUGAUGAAAUAAUAUUAAUUUGGGUUUCCCAUGUUUACAGCAGAGGAUAUCAAAAAUUGAACUGACAAGUGGAACACUCUGUCCACAACCCUUAAUGUGCAUUGAGUGUCAACAACCUUUGCUGGAAGACACUUCUCCCACCACUGCUCCCUGUCCUAUCUUAUUUGCUUUUCAUCUUAAGUCCAAAUGAGAGAUACAGUAUUAUCUCUAUGAUGUGCACAGGAAUUAGGACACACACUAACAUGUCCCAGAGUCUUGCUUUAUUGAUUAACUUCAUUAUUUUCAUUCUCUGCCUAUUUUGAAUUAUGAUAGUCUCAAGACAAGUCAAAACAAAAUGCAAAUCAAGGCCCCACACAUGGUAGACAAAAUAGCCAGCAUAGUUAGAAGUGCUUUUAAGGACACAGCUGAAGAAAUGGAAGAAAAUCUGUAGCUGACCUACAAAGAAAGGCCUCUCCUUCUUGCAUCUGUCUGGCUGGUACCUUCCAUAGAGGCAGAAUAUAGAGUUUCAGGCAGUGAACAUGCAUUCCCUCUCCCUAUUAUGGAAUAUGCUCAGGUUUCCAGCUGAUCGUGCCUUUGCAGUUUACUACCUCUACAAAUGUUUAAUCUUUCUCUCUAAAAUUCAUCCUUCUCCCUCAGUAAGAGAUAGUGUGACAAAUAUCCUAAAGGUGUCUUUCACUGUGACAAAUACUUUCUAUUUGUAUAUGAGAAAUGUGCAUCGUGUAGUCAUUUAAAAAGGUCAAUUGUGAACUGUACCAACUCCCAAAUCACAGGUCUAUUAGCCAAAAUCACAAUACCCAAACACCUCACCUCCAAAGUAAAUUAAGUUUUAUGCCCAUGUACUAUCACCCACAGUCCACAGCUCCACUUCCUUUACAAGGGAGAACUCUUGGUUACUGUAAAAUCCCAGAAGUACCUAAAAGUCUGAAAUGCUUUUUAAACAUAUGUUUAAAAAGAGGAUUAUGUUGGUACUUUACCUGCAGGAUUCAAAGAAAAUUAAGGUCUCUGAUGAAACAUUUUUAAAAACAUAGUGAUUAUUCUGCCAUAUCAACACUGUAGAAAAAUCUAUACCCUUAUUUUUUGGAAGAGUUAUUUUAAAUCUCAAAAGAUAAAUACUAUUGCCAAAAUUUGGAAUAAAAUGUUUUAACUCUUUUUGUUUUCCAGUCUCAGUAUACAAAUGCUCCAUUUUUCUCUCUCAUGUUAUCAAUUUAAACUAUAAUUUACUUAUUGGAUUUUGAUUCAUCUUUAUCUAUUUAUCAUUUUUCAAGGAAGAUUAGCUCAGAGCAUUAACUUGAUAAGCCAUUUCCUAUUUCAGUUGAGAUGGGUUGUAAAUAGGGAUAAACUAUGUAAGAAUUACCAUGCUAUCAUGUCUGGGACAAAAAGAGCAGUGAAUUAGAAGGAAUUUCUUCACAGAAAGGGGGAUUAGACACUGGAAUGGGCUAACUGCGAAGGUGAUGGAGUCACCAUCCCUGGAAGUGUUUAUGGAAAGACUGGGCACGCCAUGGUCUCAUUGAGAUGGUGAUGCUCAGUCAUAGGUUGGACUUGAUGAGCUCAGAAGCCUUUUCCAACCUCACUGAUUUUGUGAUUCUGCAAAUGCUUGUGAUGAGAGGGUAAGAAUAGUCUGCAUGGACUAAUCUUCUCUAAAGAUUAUUCUGUGCCUUUGAUUUGUUUUGGCUAAGGACCCCCUGAGUUAAAUACUCUAUCAAUGAAGUUAACCGCUAUUAUUUUAUCUGAUAUAUAUAUUUUUUUUUCAUACCUUAAUUGACACAGUAUUCUGACCUUCAUAGGAAGGUUCUUGUUUCCUCCCCUUCUCAGGGACUAGUUGAGGCUGAGUAUCCUGUAGCUCUCCAGAUUCUCCUUAUUGCCCUUCUUGAAUACAUGAGUGGUAUUUUUUUUCUUCUAUAUCUCAAGAAUGUUCCCAGAUCAAGAACAGUUUCAAAACUAUUCUUGAAUCGUUGAGAGCGGCCUUACAAUCACAUUGACCUACUUAAAACUCAGUGAAGUUGGAGAGGAUUUCACCUGCCUGUGGUCUGUGGAUGAGUAGCUGAUGAAUGUGUUCUGGCAGCAGAAUUUUAAAAGGAUACCAUUCAAAAGCAUAGCUGAUACCAGAUCUUUAGAUCUUUGGAGAGCAUUUCCCCCCCCCCCCCCCAGAAUAUUGGUUAAACUACUGUAAAUACUUCCUCUAUCUCCCUCCUUCUAGCUUACCUCUUUUUCUGGGUUUUUUUGGGGUUUUUUGUUUGGGUUUUUUUUUUUUUUUUGUUUUUUUUUUUUUUUUGCAACAGAUGAAAAAGAAACUCUGUGGGUCAAAUGGAGAGCUUUUCAGUGGGGAAAGGUACAACUAAAAACCAGGAUGCUCAGGAAUGGUCAGCAAGUCAUUCAAUUCCUUAAUUCCUUCUUGGAGACUUUCUAGAGGUGAUCAGGCUUUAUUAGCUCACACACAGUACCCAGACAUGUGAGCACUUCUAAUAGAAAUUAAUCUGGUUUACUUGGUGAUGGCGAGGGCAAGGAGUGUUUACAGUGGCUUGUCUAAACAUGGGAGUUAUUGGAGAAUGGUAUCUCAGGGCAGGGCUGAUCUUCCACAACUGAGCCAUGUGUCUAACCAAUUCCCAAGACCUCAUUCUCUCAGAAGGUAAUGUAAGAAAUGCUGUUUCCCAAGAUUUUGCACAAUAUUGUUAAAUACAGAGUGACUGACUAUUGUGCUUCCUUUGCCAUCACCAAGAAAGAAAAAUGCCAGAAAAAGGAGGGAGAAGCUGAGGAAAUCAGGGCCUGGGACUUUUUCUAUGGAGGUGGAAAACUUCUACUACUUGAUAGCAUUAUUCCACUGAGUGGUUUUGUUGCACUGUCACAAAUUACAGCUGCACUGUGGGGAUUUUCUCUGAAGGAAUCUGUGAUCUCUGAGCAAAAAUUUUCCCUUUCCAUGCUGAUUUUUAGCAUGUAGUAUAAACUACACCCUUACUGUACAGUCACAGGAUCUUAAUACUUUCACCUUUUAUUUUUUUUCCUUCCUUCAACAGCUGCUGACUGGUUUUGGUUUUCAUACUACUUGUAACACUUCUGAUGUGAUGCUCCAGGCUUGCUCAGAGAUGUACUGAGAAAACAAGAUCAUUUUAGUGCUAUAUCUCUACUUACAUAGACAGGUUGUGGAGCAAAACUUUAUAACAGACGUUUUUUAAAGCCACUGGAGAUUGGUCUUCUACUUUCUUUUUUAUGGCUUCAAGCUUAAUUUGAAAAAAUAGAAUUAAUGAGUCUUAAAACAUGAAUUUAACAAAACCCAAAUUCAGAUAAAAGGGAAUCACCUUUCAAGAUUUCUUAGCUUGCAAACCAACCUGAUUCAGUCUGAGACUGUGUACUGAAAUGGAUAUACUAUGGUCUUAUUUUCUUCUCAAUAGUUUCCCUCUCACUCUUUUUUGUCUUUCUUGUCUUCCAUAUGGGAGGAAGACAAAAAAUGAGGAGUUUAUUGCAUGGCAGCAGGGCAAUCUAAGAUUGGCCAUUCAGCUUUUUGUGGCCUGGAGUUUCUCCAUUAGAAUCAGAUGAUGCUGGGCAUGCUUUGGGUUACUUACUAGAGAAGCGGUGGUGCAAGACCCUGCAUCCACUAACAGAAGCUCAGACACCAGAGCUGCAUUUCCCAAUUUCUCUGUUUUCUUGCAGAUCAAAGAGCUACUGUGUUUUUUUCAGUGCAGUCUGUGCAGUUGAUUUAUAUUUAUACAGCCCUGGUUCCAAUAGUGUUAUCACCUCAAUUGUCAGUUAAUUUUUCUGUGUACAUAUACUAUAUGGGACAAGAUUGAUGUAUUCAUGUUAAUCUAAGAGUAAACCAUGACCCAUUUUAUUUGCAGCGUGGUUAACUGUGGUAUUCAUGGCAGCUCCCCUGAAUAUUUUUUAUGAGGUCUUUAAGUAUGUGUAAUACCGAAAACACAUUCCCAUUCAGUAGGUCUCAUGUAAGACGUUAAGCCCAACAGGGCAAACAGGUCCUAGAAAAAUUCCAUAAACAUUAAGCAUAUUUAUGUCAUAGCAUUAAGCUUGGUCAAUUUGAACAUUACUAUAUUGUGGUAUAAGAGGCAUCUUGUUUGCUUUUAUUUACCUUCUCACUAGUAAAUGUAUUUUGGUUAACCACAAUGGCAAGGCCAGGCAAAACAUUUGUGUCAACAGAUCCUUCUUCUCAACAAAGUAACAUUCUUAGUUUCUAGGGCAGCAGACUGGAUUCUGAGUAAUAAGGUCUUUAUAAGACUUGUUGUAAAUCUGAAACCAUAAACAUGUCUACUUUUCUAUUAAACCUGCUGCUGUGUUUGAGGCACAAUAAGUUCUCUUUUAUAUUUGAUGGUAGCAAGCAUGUUGGUUUUCCAGUUUUGAUUGCUGUUGAUUUAACAUUUGCCAGCACCUCCUGCCAAGCUGUUGACCUAAGUCAUGGUCCCUGGUGAUGCCAUUAACAGAGAAUUUAAUAGUUGAUGGUACCUGCUGGUAAGAACAAUGUUUUAUACAUCCCCUGUUUUGUUUCAGACAUGUUUGGGAGCAGUAGCAAGGAACUGUUUCUUUCCACACCUGACCUCUAACUGGUUGCUUUUUGAAAAUAGAUUCAACAAAGAUUUUUGCCUGGUGAAAUUUUGAUUGGGGCAUUUAUUUGGUUUUUUAUAAUACAGUGUUUUAAAUACAAUUUGAACACCACUAACAAUGAAAAUGAUUUCUGAAACAUCUCUUUCACUCUUCAGCUGCUGCAGGGUACUUCCCUCCUACUGAGGACAACAGAGUUGUUCCCUUGAGCGAAGUCUAUUCACGUUUGCAAAAUCAACAGGCCCAGUGCCCUUGCUGUAUUCAUUUCCUGUGGAUGUAUUAGAAGUUGUAUAGUGAAUUAUUUCUUCUAAAUGUAUAAAAUAGCUGUGCCUCAUUUAUUAAGCUGUGCAGAAUGAUAUAAGAUCACACCCGUGACUGUUUGGUGUGCUCCUGUAGGUUUCACGGGCUUCUGGAAGCUGCAGAAAACUGCUCAGCUGGAAGCAGUGCUUAGGAUCCAGGUCCAUAUUGAAAUGAAAGUCAUAUAUGCACUUUCAUAUUCAAAGUAUACUGUAACAGUUAAAUUAGAAACAGGAAGGAAGCUUAAUAUUGCUUAUUAUUCCUCUAUUAUUUCUAGCUCUAAUAUUCCUCUAUUAUUUCUAUCCUCACCUCAAUGCCAACAUUCAGGACACAAAUUAGUGUGUUUAUUUAAAGGCACCAUCACCUGACACAACAAACAGAAUUUUGCUAUUCCAACAUGUUAAGGUUGGAACUGAUCCAAAUUCCUUAAUCUCUGUGGACAGCUGCAACUGCAAAACCAAAACUUAGUGUGUCCUGGGGAGGCCUCACAUUUUCUUGAGUAUUUUGCUAGAACUAAAUCAAGGAGUAACACAUUCCAUCUAAACCGUAGUUAAGUGCCUCCAUGGUGCUUGGAAAAUAUGCCUGCAUUCCCAAACUCCUGGCUAUUUUUCCAGUUUCUGAAUAAUCAGUUUGCAUACUAUUUCUCAUGCAUCAGGUUUCAGAGUUUCCCUAAACAGUCUAAAUGUGGUCGUGUGACAAUUUUAAGGUCUCACUUUCACACAAGACAUCUACUUAUAAACACUUGAUGAAAAGAGUAGAAGGCCAAGUGAGAGAAAUUAUCCUUGGAAACAAACAGAACAAAACAUUAAGAGAAGAACCCUGACUGAAUGUACCAUCUUCUUAAAUUUUGAACUACACUCUCUAAAUAAAUAUGAAUACUCAAAAGGUUUAAUGAAUGUAUAUUGUGUGUUCAUAUGCAUAUAUAAAUGUGUAUGCAUAUACAUAAAUGUAUAAUAUAUGUAUAUCUCACCUCCUGUUCUUUGAAAUGUUCCUGAAUCUUAAUGUAAACUUGAGGUCUUUGUGGAGAUCCAUUCUAAAUGGUCACUAUAGUCUGACAGGUUUCACAGGGGAAGCUUCCCAGCAAAGGACAGGAAAAGAGCAUAUCCUUGGUGAAAUUCAUCGGCUUCUGACUAUUUUGCAGGAAUUGCAGGAACUGUAGCUUUUUGUGGCAGCUUGGAAAGGUCCCUUGCUUGAAGGGCACAUGAAUUUCAGGCCUUUGACUGAAAGUUUAAAAUAGGAUUUAACAACAAAGCUCUCUGCUGUUACACCUGUCUCACAUCCUUCUCUUCUAGAUCAGGAACCUGGAUGCUUUUACUAAACUGAAAUUGUUUAGGAUCAUAUGGAGUUUUCAUGCCAAAAUCUAAUUCUAUCUUCCAAAAGACAACCUUUGUGUGUCAAGGAUCUGUAUAAAUCGUGUCUGAGCUAAUCCUGCAGAACCAAGGUCAGGAAACUUAUCUGGAUGGUCCUUCCUUCCUAUUUAUAAGUGAAGGACAGAGUAUCCAUCUGCCCCAGCACUGGCAGAUUGGACUGCAAAGUAUUCUCUGCUUUCAGAUUUGGGGAGACAGCAGUUCAAAGAUAUGAUGGAAAAAUGACGGAUACUAAAAUACGCUAAGAAAGAAUCAUUAAAAACACAUACAAAUAGAAUAAAGGAAGUUUUGCAGUCAAAACUAAUGCUUUUUCUUCCUCUUCAGCUAUAUUUGUACUUUUCUUCUUCACUGUAGGCCUUAAAAGUACCAAGGUCAUCUUUUAAGGGCACUUUCCCUUCAAAGGUUUCUCCUUUUGUCCUCAUUUGGCAGGGCGCUGUGAGAGGAGGGACAGAUUCUGCAUUGCAAAUGUGGCCAGCCCAGUAUUCUGUAACUGAGUUCAGCUAUUGGGGUUGCAAUUCAAAGAACCACAGACAAAUUCAGCUCUGGAGCUGAUAAAAAAUUUCAUAUGCUAUUCCAAGGUAUGUUAAGGAACCUAUCGUAAACCUGUGAAACAGCCAUAUAUCUUGUAAGAAAGCUUUUUUUAAUCUCCAAGAUGUCCAAUAAUUGUUCCUAGAUGGUUAGAUUUGUGCAUAAAGAAUGGCCAUAUGCUUUCAAUUAGCAUUAUUUUGAUUUUAGUUUAAAACAUCAAACUAAAGUUUCCUGAAAAACCACAUCUGUACUUCUUUAUCUUUAGUGAACUCUGCAAGAAAGUGGGUGUCUCAGCCUUUUCCUUGUUUAAAUUAGAAAAAUAAUAGAAAAAAUCCAAAAGCUUAAAUAUUUGUUUUGACUUUGCAGAUUAAAUGAGAAGAAAUUUCAGGCUACAGUUAUCCACCUUCCUGAACUCAUGCAUUCUACCUCAUUCAAACUCUACAGUGUAGAUCUUAAAAACAGGAAAGAAAUUAGUUUUCUGGAAGUUGUGCCAGCCAUUUUUUCCAGCUAUUUAAAGGAGGUCCUUUGGAUUUACGUUUUGUACCCUCAGGGUGCUCAGUCACAUUGAACAAAGGUUGCUGUGAAUUUGAAGGAAUAUCAAGAUGAAGAAUUUCACCUCAUGUGACUGAGACACUUCCAGAGCCAUGAUGUUAGAAUUGGAGUCAAGCCUGUUCAGCAGAAGCAUUUUAAAAAUUACAUUUUAUGAUGGGCAGUGGACAUUAUGAGAGCUGGCAGAAAGACAGAGACAGACGUAGGAACAGCAGUAUCUGAGAAGAACUUUUGGCAAUGAGCCCAUACCCAGAGCCAGGCACUGGGGGAUGCUCCAGAAGGGAUGAUUACAUGGAAAAGCUGAGAAGCCAUGCAAAGGAAAGCACGGCAUGGAUAUCCAUGAAAAAGACUGGAGCAUUCUGUCCUGUUAUCUCAGGUGGGAUAUCUGCCCAAACAUAACAGCUCUGAGCAUUCUAGUGAGCAAGAUACACAUCAGGCAGUAAUCCAGGUUUCCUUGGGAGAUGGAGAGAAAAGGGCAGUUUACUGGUGUCCAUGUAAGCUGGACAACCAGCUCUCGUGAGUGCCAGUUUCUGUGUGUUGGAUAAGAAGGGAACACAGCCAGCCAGCUGAGAUCACAGAGCUUUCACUGGAUGUGGUGAAACUUAACUUCACAUCUAAUAAAGCUGGGCUGGUGUUUCAAAGGGACAGCAAAUGCUGUUCUGGGUAUGUUGUGAUCAUAAGCGUGGGAAGCAGUAGCAGUGCCCAGUGUCUGUCCGUGUAUGCAAGAAAACAAAUGUAGAACAGUCAGACAUUGAGGGAAUUAGAGAAAUUAAAUGGCUUUUCUGAAGGAAUGAUUACAUUUAAUGCUUCCCAAAUGUCUAGAAAUGCCUUAAAUUCUCUAGAAAGAGGAAAUAAAAGACACUGUCACUAAAAAAUUUACAAGCACUCCAUGUUUCUGUCUUCUCUGACAUGCUGGGCAGUCUAUGACCUGGUAGUGCAACCCCCCUGGAUAUAUGGAGUUGCACACUUUUACUUCAUACCAUUCACCUUUUCUGUUAGUUACUGAAGGAUGAAAGGGAUGAACUUCUAUUACACGUAGUCACUGUUCCUAUGGCAAUUCUCUUAACACUCAUGUGCAUAGCACAUUAGGAUAUUUUCUUCUUUUUUAGCCUUCUAGUUCAGGAGACAGUGCCUGUUGUUGCUAGUGGGAUGCUAUACAAAUGCAGCAUGAAUGACUGUAAAUUUCUUUAACAUUCAAUACAACAGCCUUCUGCUCUGCCUCACAGCUUACUAUUUUCUGAAACCCACUGGCAGCCUGGGUUUUUUAGUCUAUGACUACACUGCGCAUAAAGAGUUUGCAUCCUUCUACCUGGGUGUUUGUGCUCUAUCUAGAUACACAGCAAUCCCACAGAAUAAACACAGCAUUUUCUUUCAUCUGUGCUCUCUCUGCCAUUAAAAACAUUACCAUCUUUCUAAAAGAUUAACCUCAGGCCACUAAAUAUUUCACACAGUCCUCAUUGCCCUUCCAUUGGGAAGAUUUGUCACAUCCACACUCUGCAGUUACAGAUAACAGUGACUGUCGGGUUGAACUAGAAAAAGUAGUAAAUACAUUGGAUUUCUUGCAGAAACAUCAGUUCACAUCAGUGCUUUUCAGCAGUUGCUACUGUAGCAAAAACAACAACAGCCAGCAAGCAAAUUAAAAGUAGUCUUACCUCAGUAUGGCACAUUGGGAACCUGUUUCCUUGCUCUUCUAGCUGCUGGCCCCAUUCUCCUCAGGCAGCACUGACUCACUGGACCAGUGAAUAUCUUCUGGCCUUUCUAGAGCAAAAAACAUAAACUAAAAAAUAUUUGUCAGACGUGUGUACAGUGAUUCCAAAUUCUUCUGCUGUAUUCUAAAAAUGAAUGCCAAGUGAUCCAAGUGAAACAGAUAUCUGAUUUGCUUCUCCUCCUGUGCUUCUGUCCAGGUGUAAAGCUGGGUCUAAGACACAGAGACAUAUAUUUUGGUCCUUGCAUGCACAUUGUUAUCUUGUAAGUGAGAAUUCUCUUUGGUGCUCAAUGUUUAGUUUUCCUCACUUGCUUUUAACUUCUUUUAGCAGACUGAUUUUCAAGUGUGCAAAGACUUUUGGGCUAAGCAAUAUGGGUGCAGUAAAUAUUUUAAUAACCCUCUGUGCCCUUUUGAAUAUUUGGGCUCCAUCAGCUAAUAUAUUUGACUUCUUUAGCUGAGCUGUUUGAACUCAAUGAUGAUAACAUUAUGGGUUUAAGAAAAGAAAAUUUCAAAGUAAAAGCACUGAGAUUAGCCAUCAUCCAUCAAACAGAUAGAUAAAUAUUUGCUGAAUAUGAAUAUUUGAAAUGCAAAACUAAAAAUAACACAGCAUUGGGGUGUAGUGUAAUAACCAUGCAAGAAUAUUAAAGCCAGAAUUUAUGAAAAAGAAAAAUUACAAACUAUACAGCAACACAGGAAAAUAAAAAAGGUAAACACAGUAAAUAGUGUCGAAACUACAGCUCUCCUUUAUCUUUAGGAGUUUCUGUCCUGUCCUACUCUACCACUGAAUCUGUACUUGGCUUUCUUCCACACAGUGCUUUGAAGUCUGCAUUGAUUCAGGAUAGUCCCUUACAAACUACCACAGAAAAUGUAUAAGAGUAUUGCAUUCAUUCUUAAGUCCUUCUCCUCCCUCCCCUGUAGCAUUAAGAACUGCAGAAUGCAAGUAACUGAGUAAACACUGAUAAAACAAACCACUACUGCUUCAAGUGGCUGUUAGGAGAAUCAGAAAUACCUCGCUGAGCAGCUCAUCACUGGCUGGAUGUGUGGGUUUGACUGUUCCUCUCCACUCCUAUUAUUUGUUACAGCCCUUUCACAUCCUAUUUUAAUAAACCCUGUAAGUUCUCUUAUGGGGCAGGGAACAUACCUUCCCCUGUGCAGUAAUGGUAUGUUGUUUUUGCGCCUCUUUCAUCCCUCCCUUUCUAAUGGGAACUGAAGGCAUGAAGAUAUUUCCUGAACCCAGCUCUGUGCCAGUGCUAGCUUGACUUUGAAUCAGUUGUAGUUAGUUAUUGGCAAACAAAUAUCAAAACUAAAGGCUAACCUCAAGCAAAUGAAGCAUCUGCAUUCCACUGGCGCAUGUGCACACCUUGGUUCUGCAAUACUGCAAAUCAGAUCUGCCUCGGGUUACUGGAGGACAAGAUACACUGAUCUCUAGAUAAAUUAGCUCUGCUGAGCUGUGCUCCCUGCAGCUACAGUGCUGCUGUUAUCUCUGUCCUUAUUUCUACUGCAAACAAGCAGAAACUUACCUAAAAGCCAGAAAGGGUUAUCCAGCCAGAUCUCCCAGAAGGCAGAAAUCAUAGAAUUAAAGAGUAAUUUCAGCUCUAAGGCUGGAAGAAACCUCAGGAGGUCACCUUGUGCAACCCCCUGUUCAAAGGGGACCAGUUUAGAUUAAGUUGCACAAGCCUUCAAGAAUUAAUUUCCAUGUCAGUGGAAAUUAAUUGACUUCAACAAAUUCUGGGAAUUUCUACUAUGAAUCCACAAAUCUUUCUGUAACCAGCUGCCACCAAAGAUGUUUUUCUUGUUGGUUUUAGUUUGGUUUGUUUUUUUUCCCUAAGACUAAUUUUUAGCCUUUAUUUGUCUAGCUUUAUCACCCUCUCUUUUAACUCUGAUUUCUUGUUUUGAUGCUGCCUGGCAAAGGCUGUCAUCACAUAACCCUUUGAAUCAGACUGAGCUUCAUGAAUUUGUUAAUGUAUGAUGUUUUUCAUGUUCCAAUUUCUUGUGCAACCCUGCUCUGAGCUUUCUCUAAUUUAUCAACACAUGGAUUACAAAAAGAACUGCCUAGAUAACAAGAUCAACUGUCCAGGCUUGGGCAAGAGAGCUGGACAGAAUUUUCAUAGUUGUAGCACCAAAUGCAGAGCUAAUGUAUGCCUUUUCUCUCUAGCAUUCCCUUUUAUAUUUAUCCAAGGGUUUCAAUAGCAGUUUUGGAAAUGGCAUCAUGAUGGUAGUUCCUAUCCAAGUUACCUGCCUGCCAUGAACCCAAAUUUAUUCUUCCCCAGGAGGGCCAUCCACCUGCUACAAGAACAUUUCUAGGCAUAAGACUGCCCAUUUAGCGAUAUUGAUCCAGUGAUUCCAUGAAUUUGUUUGUGACUUCCUUGUGAAAUUAUGAAAUUAUACUAGGCAGUUCAUUCAUUACAUUAUUUAAAUAUUUUUUGUGGCAUAUGCAAAAUUGGUCAGCAGAGAUUUCAUGUUUUUCUCAGACUAUAAAAUUUGAUAAUUAUCUCAGCAUCAGAAAAGGGCUUUUAGAGUAUCACUAAACAGCAGACCAUUGAUGAUUCUCAAUUUGCAUCUAUAUUUCAAGAACUAAUAUUUGCUGGUAUUUUAUUUAGUAUUUGCAAUAUUGGUAUUUUAAUUUUUAUCUUUCCUUAAUCAAAAUGCCAGCAGGUGGUAGAUUAAAUGUUUUAAAAACUCUGAACUGUAUUGCACUCAGCUUAAUUUGGUGGUCACGUGUAAAUGUCAGAGCUGGGGCUACACAUGUGACAGAACUGUCUCUCCACAAACUACCAGUGUGAACUUUCCUUUGAAAACCUGAUAAGAAGAGAGUUUUGUCCCCGAGAAUUUUUCAGUUGCUCAUGAUAGAAGCCCUAAAAAUGACAUGUACAAUUAUUCUCCAGUUAUGACUUUCCACAUGGACUGCAUUCUUGCACAAAUAUUAAAAGCUGUACACAUUUGAAAUACACUGAGGUAUUUCACUGCUUCUAAAGAAGGAAAGAAGAUAAUUUAAAUUUUUUUUUUUUUUGGUGUUUGUUUGAUGUUUUCCUUAAAAGUUUAUCUUAAAUGAAGGAAGGGAAAUAUUUACAAUUUCAAUGGAACAAUGGCCUGGAACUAAGGAAGGGAAAGUUUAGGUUAGGCUGUAGUAAGAAGUUCUUAACUCAAAUAGCCUCAGACUCCGAAAGAAGUUUUUUGAGCCAGCAUCAUGGAAGAUUUCCAUUAACUGCAGGUGAGACACUCUGGAGAAAUACUUUAUAAAGAACAAAAUCUGGCGAAAGUUGGAUACUAGACAAUCAUCACCUUUUAAUAUAAUCUUUCUUUCUUUAUAAUUCUUUAUCUAUAAUUUUAUUAGUGACACAAAGGAGAGUAAAAUUUAAAGCAAAUCUUAAAACCUGAUAUGCUUAGGAGGAAUAUCCACCACAGCGCAGAUCCUACUGACAAUGACAGCUCAGCAAAAAAAUCCAGAUUCAGUUUUUUAUUUGUUAUGUUCACAACUAAAGAGGAACAUUCAGGUACUGGAUUGUUGAAAAUCUCACCCAUGCAGUACAGCCCCUUCAGAGUGCCCUAAGGAUACAUUGCCCUUUAGAACUGCCAGAGCACCAAAGAUUAAACAAAAGUGUAGGGUGAGAUUAAAGUGACACUUUCUGUGAUUUUUUGAAAAAGAAAAGAGGCAGUACCAGACAAGCCAGGAGUUCUCACUUGACUCUUUCUAAUUCUCUGCAAAAAACAUCUAAGUGAGAAGUUUAAUUCACUUCAGUACUUAGUUCUUUUACCUAUUUAAAGAUGUAAGGGAAGUUUAUUUAACAAAAUAAUCAAGUUUCCUUUUAAAUCAGAAUUUAAAUAUGGUUUGUUGCAUGAAACUCAAUUUUCCUAGUUGUACCAUAUACAAUAAGCUGGGGGCUAGAUAGCACUUGUUCUGAAACAAAUCCAUUUUAUGUGGUGAAAAUGCUGCAGAUUUAUGCUAGAAGAAAAAUGUUACUUCUGCUCUGCUUAAUGAUAUCUGAAAUUAUCAAUUUCAGUAUCAUGAGCAUUCAUUUAGUCUUUUCUGUCACAUUCAUAUUUAAAUUGUUAAAUUUAAACAAUUUCUCUGGCAGUUCUCUGCCAGAGAAACAUCUGUCUGAGCUGAAGGGAAAAAAUUACACGUCAGAUAACUUUGAGGUAUUAAAUUAGUUUCUGAUUUUAGAAGACAAAGAGUAAUGAUAUUUGGCCUGCUACAUGCAGGAUCCAUUACACACAGUGUCAAAAGUACUUAUUCCUUGAAGCUGCAGUGUCUUGGACUGUGACACAUGUCCAGGAUUGAAGAAAGAGUAAAACUUGUCCCCCUAGUGUACUGUUGUUGUAAAAUAUUUAGCUCUCUAACCUGCUGGAGUUUGUCUAAGGGUUCAUUGUGACCUCUUCUGUAUCUUCAGUGUGUUUUUACUGACUGAGAACAAUUCCUGGGGAAGGAUAUGUCUCUUAAACAAUUUUCUUAUGACUCUAGGUUUCUGGGACGGAACAGAUUCCACCUGGGAAUAUAGUUCCUAUAGAAUGUAAGAUAAGAACUAGAUAAUAUUUUGCUUCUGUUUAUAAAAGCUUAUAAGAACUAUCUUGGCUUUUUUUCAUGCUAUUAACAUCUGGAUUUUUGUUAUAAAAUUUAAUUUUAAAUCUCUGUAUACAUAAGAAUUUUCCUUAUGUAUUUCUGAAUAGCAUUUCCAUUGCUUUGGAAUACUCAGUUAAAAAAAAGGUCAGAUGAGAUAGGCAAUAAUUACUGAAAUGAUUCAUUAAUCAAUAUUUUCUUCUGGGAAAUGGUUCUAAAAUAACUUAUAGUCAGUACUAAUCUGGUAUUAUUAUUGUAUUGGAGAUAAAUUGUUUAAAUUAUAUUUCUAGUAAAUUAUUAUGUUGUUCCCGGAGUAUCAAAGACAAUUUAGUUGUUUUAUGCAAAUGCAUAGAGCACAAUGCUGAAAAAUAUUCUUGACUAUUCACUGAGGAGCCUCACUAAACCUUUAAGGGAGGCUGUGAGGAAUAUGUAAAUGAGUGACUACCAAAUCAGAUGCAAAAUUGGAAAUUUACAAUAGGAUAUUUAGCCAAAGAAGAUUGACUAGAAUGGCUACAUGUGGCAUUAGUAUUGUAGAAAAUAUUUAGCAUUUAUUUGGAACAUAGUCUGUGAGUCUUUGUCUGGGAGCUGUUUGUGUAGGGGAUCGUGGAAGAAUCUACACUGAGAAACAGAUCCCUAUGAAUCUAAAGGGAGGGUAGAAGGGGUUUGUUCCCUCUCUGGCUGAGGUUGUUUGGCCUAGGAAGGGAGUGAUAAGGGGAAAUUGGAGUAUGUAUGCACAGUGUAAUACAGCAUCCUGGUGUGACAGCCAGCUCCUCACCCCUUCUUAGCAGCCACCUCAGACCACCCUGCUGCACCCACGGCCGCUACUUUGCACCUCAGCCAUAGGAGUCGUCUCCUGCAAAGUAUGAAGAAAAAAAGUUCUAGCCUAGACCAACAGGUCUCCCAUAUCCCCAAGCAGUCCAUCCACUAAGCUUAGGUAUAACUGAGCUGGGAAAACAUCACCUUCAUGUAUAUUUAGAAAACAUAUAGCUUUUUCAGGUAGAUUUUGGAAGAGAUGAGUCUUGACAGGCUCACCCUCAGACUGGUUCUUCAGCAAGGAGGUUGAAGAACACCUUGCUGGUAAAUCCCAGCAGGAUGAAGUCAUAAGUUAAACAGGAGCUUUUCACAACUGCCAUGCACAAAGGUACUUCCAGAUAUUUCUCCUGGAAGUCUUCCUACAGACUUCACAAUCUUACACAUGUUGUAGUAAAUUGGAAUUUUGUGGUUUGCCAUUUAGGCAUCUAAUCCUGUCACUUAAAGUCCUGAUUAAACCAACUAAAUCUUACUAUGAAUUUAACACAAUACUUAAAUACCCUGUGCAUGCUGUUGCAGUGAAGAAUCUCCUCUGCUUUUCACACACUGAGUUACUAUCAGUGUAUAUCCAUCUUUGUAUCAGGAUCAGGUGAUGGAAUUUAAGAAGAAUAGUAUAAAAUAAAGAACCUGAUGGGCCAGAGAUAUGUGUCUUGCCUAGAAAGGACAUCUACGGGGACGACUUUGAAAACAGGUAAUUUGCAGCCUUUCACUUAUUAUCUGUUAAUUGUAGUUUCAUAGUAGCAUUUAUUCAAGCAUAUCUUGAAUUAAAAUUAUCUAAAUCAACUGGCCACUUUCUGGUUGUUCUUUGUGUAUUCAGAGCAUUGGAAUGAGCAAAAAUCUAUACAUGUAGCACUUGAUAUUAUGGCAUAUAAAAGGUAUUUUCUCUGGGUCACAGAUAUAGAAAACUUAUUAAAUAAACAACAAGAAAAAUUGUA